GGGAAGAGCUCAGUGGUAGAGCACCUGCUUUGCAUACAGAAGGACUUGGGUUCAGUCCCCAUGGCAUUUCUCA